UCAUUCCGGACUCGUGAUCGCCUCGUCAACAUUCCUUCGGAAGUAAACUGAAGCUUUUAGUGUCGGUGUUCAUCGAUAGUUUCGUCUGAGACGUUUAAAUUCGUUAUUCAACAUCUUCACCCCCAAUGUCGAUCGAUACUCAGAUUUUCCUUAAUAAAUGCUCAAUACUACUGGAAAAUUAACGAUCAGAAGUGAGCUGAGCAAAAGACGAGAGAAAAAUUGAGCAACGAGCAAAAUCAAAGUUCUCGAACAUCAGCAUAUACCACUAAAUAAAAAAGUAUUCAUUUCAAAUAUAUCAGUGAGUGCAGAGAGUUCACGAUUUUGGGCUGAAUAUAGCGAGCAGUAAACCUGCCCCAAACGACACUCGUCCCCGUCUGAGAUCACCCCACAAUCGAACGGCACUAGCCAGCUAGAGGACUUCCUAAAGUUAAAUUCAAACACCAUCACAAUUCCUUUAAAUACGGAACAGAAUUGUAAAAAAUCUGCACAUCAUCUGCUGUUCUCUGAAAUAUUUUGUUGGCUACUGAAUCACCAAUAUAUUUCCAAGACCUGAUCAUCUGACAAUGAGCUGUGGCGAAAGUUCUGAAGCAACCAUUUGUAGCUACUUUUGACGCGAGGGAAUGAAAGUGCACCUGGAAACCGUCGAGCUCAGUACAAGGCCCAUUUUUCUCUGAAUUAAGACCCGUUUCGAGACUUCACGUAAAGUGUUCUUCUCCAUGAUCGACAUCGAGACUUUUUCAUCAUUGUGAAGUGUCAUCGGGAACUCACGCAAUCAUUCCAUCUUCGCAAAUCGAUUGGAACACAACAUCUGUGGUCACAGGAAAAGGUCAAACACAUCGAGCCCCGCUAUCUUUCGAUACAGAUUUUUCUGUUCUUGUGCUUCAAUACGAGGUAAAUUAUUGGAUAUUUUUACGCUUAAUUUUCUACGAAUUUUGAUGUCUCGGACGUGGAAAAAAUAUUACACUCACAGUCUUCUCAAACCGCUGUAAGAAAGCCACAGCCGGGUACAGUCUCGAGAGAAAUUGUCGUCCGUAGAAUAAGUGCGAUAAAUAUGUUUACGAACUUAGAAACCUCAUAGACUUUCAUAUUUUCGGUGAGUGCGAUGCAACAAAAGCAUAUGCACGAGGACUAAAAGCUGUUACCACAACGUUAUCGAGCGCACUUACCAUUUUUAUCUGUCAUUCGCGAGAGCAGCGAGUGUUAUGAAAAUGUAAGCGAACGACUUUAUGGUGUUCCCGAGCAAAAUCGUUCUUUUUCGUCUACAUUCAUGCGAUCGAAUAAUGCUACACAUUGAAUCUUCAAGAAAAUUAUAAGAAAAAUGAUUAUCAUAGUUCAAAAAAUGUAUGAAAAGUAAUGAGUUAGGAAAAUUUCAAUUCACAUCACUGUAUUCGAGCAAUUGGACCAAUGGUGUCAUCAGAAAUUUGAAUAAAGUUAAUGAUUCAUCAGUAGAAAAACAUUACAACAUUAGCUCCAUUCGAAUACAUCAGGCGCUGCUGUUUGAGCUAAGAAAUCUACUAGUUGUCAAAGAAAAAACUGAGACUUGUAUGCUAUAGAAAUAAAGAAUAUGAAAGAACAA
rnacentral:lncRNA from 1 species